AUCACUGGGGGAUCUUGUUAAAAUGUAGAUUCAGUUUCUGUAAGUCUGGAGGGGACUGAGAUUCUGUAUUUGUAACAAGCUUACAGGUGAUGCUGA
rnacentral:pre_miRNA from 1 species